UCACAAGCAAAAAAACAUGGAGGAGUUAACUCGAAAGGGGACGAGAAACAUUGCUAUUAGACGGCGAGGAACAAUAUCUGGAGAUGAUUAUGAUUGACUUACUUUGGUCCCUCAGUGUUGUUGCUAACCAUAUUCACUGACUUUAUUAUUCGCACUAAAAAACUAAGACGAUAGAGUGGAACGAUCGAGCUCAAUUUACGGUGUUUCAUACAAGUCUUUUCGCUACCAAUACAUUUUUAGUCUCCGUAAAGUAGUUUGUUGAAAACAUUACGAUAUCCUUCUUCUUCAAUAGGGUGAGGUGUGAAUAAACCUCAAUAGGGUGAGGUGUGGAUAAACCUUAAUAGGGUGAGGUGGGGAU